GACGAACGCUGGCGGCGUGCUUAACACAUGCAAGUCGAGCGGUAAGGCCCUUUCGGGGGGUACACGAGCGGCGAACGGGUGAGUAACACGUGGGUGACCUGCCCUCAGCUCUGGGAUAAGCCUGGGAAACCGGGUCUAAUACCGGAUAUGACUCCAUGACGCAUGUUGUGGGGUGGAAAGCCUUGUGCGGCUGAGGAUGGGCCCGCGGCCUAUCAGCUUGUUGGUGGGGUGANGGCCUACCAAGGCGACGACGGGUAGCCGGCCUGAGAGGGCGACCGGCCACACUGGGACUGAGACACGGCCCAGACUCCUACGGGAGGCAGCAGGUGGGGAAUCUUGCGCAAGUGGGCGAAAGCCUGACGCAGCGACGCCGCGUGA
rnacentral:rRNA from 1 species